AAACACAACUCAUGAAGGACCCUUGGGCAAAAUCAAAGUGGAAGCCCUCCAAACGAAUAUUUUUAAGAAAACGUUUUUGGGUGACCUGACUUUGAGGGGAAAAAACGGUAUAAUAAGUUUGGAAUUUGGAAAAAUACCAAGAAAUAGAAGUUGUAGAUAAUUUAAUUAGCUUUCCAACCAUAGGUCGUGGGUUCCCAGGUGACGUCGGUACAAGGAGAUGUGCACGUUUUAAGGUCGAAAGGUCAGUGGGCUAGACCCAACUCGGGACCAACCGGGUUGGCCCAAAAAAAAAAAAAAAAGAAGAAAAACAAAAGAGGCCCAAUUUUCAUGGGGUGGCCGGCCAUGGUCAUUAAAAGGGGCCCAAGCCCAUGAAAAAAAAAAUUAGAAUCAAAUAAAUAAGAUGAGCCAUUAGUCAUCUUUAUUUUGGAAGAUUCAAGAAACUCAAAAAGAAACUUGAGAGAGAGAGAGAGCCAAGGAGGGUCACGGCUAAGGAAAAAAAAUAAAAAUAAAAAUUUGGAAGCCUUCCAACUUUGGUCCAAAAAUCUUAAUUUUCUUGUAUUCCUACUAAGCUCAAGACGCUCUUCAACGUGGUAUAAUUUUCGGGGCAAGAAAAUACCUUUUGUGGCAAGUGGAGAAUUUUAGAAAAGAUUUUGGACGAAACGGGAAUUGAAUUUGGACAAGCGUAAAAGUCGAAUAAGGUACAGACGACAGAUUUGAUGAUCCGCUUGCUUAGGACUAUAUUCUGCUAUCUUGGAGUGCUCUAUUGUUCGGAGCCUACGUUUUGGUACAGUCUUUUGCCAUUGUACAUAUGUGUGCUAUUCAGGGGUACGACGGGGCCCUGUCCCGUCUUACGAUUCUGAUGUGUUCUGUAGAGGUCUGUAGACAUACAUGUGGGUUCUGUGUAUGCUUUGGGUUGAUAUGAUCUGUGAUAGCCUUAUCGGCUUCUACGUGCUAUAUUCUGUUCAUCUGUAAUAGUUAGUGACGCCAUUUGACUUUUAUAUCUAUAUAUUCUGCUAAUAUGCCGGUUUGGGUUAUGGGGUACGUUCGGGUGUCCAGCACGGACACUAGUCGCGGCCUACGGGGUUGGGUCGUGACACCAGUUGAGUUAGAUAUAUGUAGUAAUACAUCUUUCUACACCAUUUAAGCAAAAAAAAAAAAAAAAAAAAAAAAAAAAAAAAAAAAAAAAAAAAAGAGCUCUAUCACAUCAUCAAUUUUGUAGGUGUAUUGUUGUGUGCGCUACAAAGAAAUAUUAAUUUGGCCCCAGCUUGUUGGCUUCGGACGCCUACAGAUCUUCUGUUAGGUUCGCUAUACAGACAACACCUACUACUGGAUACACCUUCAACUCUGGUAACAAGGAUUUUGCCUUGAUCUCUUCUACCUUUAUUUCUGAUUUUUCUCUGAAGAAGUAUUCUGCCUUCACCUCUUCUAGGUUUAUUUUUGAUUUUUCGAAGGAGGGGGAUAAUGAUCCGAAUGAGGGGGAUAAUGAACCAAAGAAGGGAGAUAAUGAUCGGAAGAAAGGGGAUAAUGAUCCAAAGAAAGAGACUCUCGUUUCUUUGAUUGCCCUUUUCGCAUAGGCUCUCGCCUUUGUCGCAUGUUCUGAAUGUUUUCGGAAGAAUAUUCGCUACUACCUUCGAACAUAUAAACAUUAAACUUAAUGAAACAUAAGUACUUAUC